GGGUGAGUAGUGCCUAGGAAUCUGCCUGGUAGUGGGGGACAACGUUUCGAAAGGAACGCUAAUACCGCAUACGUCCUACGGGAGAAAGUGGGGGAUCUUCGGACCUCACGCUAUCAGAUGAGCCUAGGUCGGAUUAGCUAGUUGGUGAGGUAAUGGCUCACCAAGGCGACGAUCCGUAACUGGUCUGAGAGGAUGAUCAGUCACACUGGAACUGAGACACGGUCCAGACUCCUACGGGAGGCAGCAGUGGGGAAUAUUGGACAAUGGGCGAAAGCCUGAUCCAGCCAUGCCGCGUGUGUGAAGAAGGUCUUCGGAUUGUAAAGCACUUUAAGUUGGGAGGAAGGGUUGUAGGUUAAUACCCUGCAAUUUUGACGUUACCAACAGAAUAAGCACCGGCUAACUUCGUGCCAGCAGCCGCGGUAAUACGAAGGGUGCAAGCGUUAAUCGGAAUUACUGGGCGUAAAGCGCGCGUAGGUGGUUCAGCAAGUUGGAUGUG
rnacentral:rRNA from 1 species